AUUGAACGCUGGCGGCAUGCCUAACACAUGCAAGUCGAACGAGUGGCGGACGGGUGAGUAAUGUCUGGGAAACUGCCUGAUGGAGGGGGAUAACUACUGGAAACGGUAGCUAAUACCGCAUACCAUCAGAUGUGCCCAGAUGGGAUUAGCUUGUUGGUGGGGUAACGGCUCACCAAGGCGACGAGCCCUAGCUGGUCUGAGAGGAUGACCAGCCAAACUGGAACUGAGACACGGUCCAGAAGCCUACGGGAGGCAGCAGUGGGGAAUAGUGGACAAUGGGCGAAAGCCUGAUGCAGACAUGACGCGUGUAUGAAGAAGGCCUUCGGGUUGUAAAGUACUUUCAGCGGGGAGGCGUUACCAACAGAAUAAGCACCGGAUAACUCCGUGCCAGCAGCCGCGGUAAUUC
rnacentral:rRNA from 1 species